rnacentral:rRNA from 1 species
UACGUAGGGUGCGAGCGUUGUCCGGAAUUAUUGGGCGUAAAGGGCUCGUAGGCGGUCUGUUGCGUCAGGAGUGAAAACUCGGGGCUUAACCCCGAGCCUGCUUCUGAUACGGGCAGACUAGAGGUAUGCAGGGGAGAACGGAAUUCCUGGUGUAGCGGUGAAAUGCGUAGAUAUCUGGAGGAACACCGGUGGCGAAGGCGACAUCCUGGACCGGUAUUGACGCUGAGGCGCGAAAGCCAGGGGAGCAAACGGG